AUUAAUAUGGCAGAAAUAAAUAUGCUUUGAAUUUAAAAUUCAAUUAUAAAUAAAAUUUUA
rnacentral:tRNA from 1 species